rnacentral:misc_RNA from 1 species
GAUGAAGAACGCAGUGAAAUGCGAUAAGUAAUGUGAAUUGCAGAAUUCAGUGAAUCAUCGAAUCUUUGAACGCACCUUGCGCCUUUUGGUAUUCCGAAAGGCACACCUGUUUGAGCGUCAUGAAUACCUCAAUCUCCAUCUUUUCUUCGGAUUGAUGGGUGACUUGGAUGUUGAGCCCUGCUGGUAUGCUAUAUCAGCUGGGUUUAAACUUAUUAGCCGGCUCUGUACUGGAUCGGUUUGACUCGACGUGAUAAUAUUAUCGUUGAGGAUGCAUGUCUCAUGCAGCCGGAAAGUAUCAAAGCAGCUUCUAGCUUGCCUUUAGUGCACUUUUACAUUUUAGACCUCAGAUCAGGUGGGACUACCCGCUGAACUUAAGCAUAUCAAUAAGCGGAGGA